GGGGAAUAUUGGACAAUGGGCGAAAGCCUGAUCCAGCCAUGCCGCGUGGGCGAAGAAGGCCUGCGGGUUGUAAAGCCCUUUCGGUGGGGAUAAAAAGCAUUGGACUAACACACCAGGGCCUUGAUCUAACCCAAGCAAGAAGCACCGGCUAACUCAGUGCCAGCAGCCGCGGUAAUACAGAGGGUGCGAGCGUUAAUCGGAAUUACUGGGCGUAAAGCGCACGUAGUUGGCUUUGCAAGUCGAUUGUGAAAUCCCCGGGCUUAACCUGGGAACUGCAGUCGAGACUGCUUUGCUUGAGUAUGGGAGAGGGAGGUGGAAUUUCCGGUGUAGCGGUGAAAUGCGUAGAUAUCGGAAGGAACAUCAGUGGCGAAGGCGACCUCCUGGACCAAUACUGACACUCAAGUGCGAAAGCGUGGGGAGCAAA
rnacentral:rRNA from 1 species